rnacentral:rRNA from 1 species
UAGGGAAUAUUGGUCAAUGGAUGCAAGUCUGAACCAGCCAUGCCGCGUGCAGGAAGAAGGCCUUCUGGGUUGUAAACUGCUUUUGCCAGGGGAUAAAAAGUCCUUGCGAGGAUAAUUGAAGGUACCUGGUGAAUAAGCCACGGCUAACUACGUGCCAGCAGCCGCGGUAAUACGUAGGUGGCAAGCGUUGUCCGGAUUUAUUGGGUUUAAAGGGUGCGUAGGCGGUCUAUUAAGUCAGUGCUGAAAUAUCCCGGCUUAACCGGGAGGGUGGCAUUGAUACUGAUGGACUUGAGUGCAGUCGAGGUAGGCGGAAUUGACGGUGUAGCGGUGAAAUGCUUAGAUAUCGUCAAGAACACCGAUAGUGAAGACAGCUUACUAGGCUGUAACUGACGCUGAGGCA